GGAAUCUUGGACAAUGGGGGCAACCCUGAUCCAGCGACGCCGCGUGGGUGAUGAAGGCCUUCGGGUUGUAAAGCCCUUUCGACGGGGACGAUGAUGACGGUACCCGGCGAAGAAGCACCGGCUAACUCCCUGCCAGCGGCCGCGGGAAGACGGCGGGUGCUAGCGUUGGUCGGAAUCACUGGGCGUAAAGGGCGCGUAGGCGGCCCAGCGUGUCGGCUCGUGAAAGCCCGGGGCUCAACCCCGGAGGUGCGGCCGAAACUGAUGGGCUGGAGGCCGGAAGAGGAGGGUGGAAUACCCAGUGUAGAGGUGAAAUUCGUAGAUAUUGGGUGGAACACCGGUGGCGAAAGCGGCUCUCUGGUCCGGUCCUGACACUGAGGCGCGAAAGCGUGGGGAGCAAAC
rnacentral:rRNA from 1 species